GGAUUAGAUACCCUGGUAGUCCACGCCCUAAACGUUGAAUACUCGACCUUAGCGAUAUACAGUUAGGGUCCAAGCGAAAGCGUUAAGUAUUCCACCUGGGAAGUACGUUCGCAAGAAUGAAACUCAAAGGAAUUGACGGGGGCCCGCACAAGCGGAGGAGCAUGUGGUUUAAUUCGAUGAUACGCGAGGAACCUUACCUGGGCUUGAAUGUUAGUGAUCGAUGCAGAAAUGCAUAAUUCCUUCGGGACACAAAACAAGGUGCUGCAUGGCUGUCGUCAGCUCGUGCCG
rnacentral:rRNA from 1 species